AGUGAACGCUGGCGGUAGGCCUAACACAUGCAAGUCGAACGGCAGCACAGUAAGAGCUUGCUCUUACGGGUGGCGAGUGGCGGACGGGUGAGGAAUACAUCGGAAUCUACUUUUUCGUGGGGGAUAACGUAGGGAAACUUACGCUAAUACCGCAUACGACCUACGGGUGAAAGCAGGGGAUCUUCGGACCUUGCGCGAUUGAAUGAGCCGAUGUCGGAUUAGCUAGUUGGCGGGGUAAAGGCCCACCAAGGCGACGAUCCGUAGCUGGUCUGAGAGGAUGAUCAGCCACACUGGAAAUGAGACACGGUCCAGACUCCUACGGGAGGCAGCAGUGGGGAAUAUUGGACAAUGGGCGCAAGCCUGAUCCAGCCAUACCGCGUGGGUGAAGAAGGCCUUCGGGUUGUAAAGCCCUUUGGUUGGGAAAGAAAAGCAGCAGGUUAAUACCCCGCUGUUCUGACGGUACCAAAAGAAUAAGCACCGGCUAACUUCGUG
rnacentral:rRNA from 1 species